GAUCAUACCAAUAUCGGGGGAUUCACGCACAGUCGUAAAUUCCCACAGUGUGCACUAUGUGCUUCGAAUAUUGUGUGUACUUUUUGUUUUAUACAGUUGUCAGCCAGGCAUCUAACUAUGAAAAAAUUACACUCCAAAAGACCCCGAGCUUCUGACAAAACAACCCGGGCUUAAGCCCAGUAAGCCACCCCCACGCUCCGCCCCUGGUUUAGAGCAAAUCUUGUGUAGUUAGUGUGCAGUGUAGUCAAUAGUUUUGUUGUGUGUGUCAGAACAAUGAGGCGACUGCUGAAUGUUACAGGAGUGAUACAUCUCCUGUUGUCAGGCCUGCAGGUAUCAGGCUCUUGUUUUCCUUUAUCUCAUAGUGGACAGAAAUGAUUUUUUUGGAGUGGCACAAAUAAUUUGUGUGGCAUCAAAUUUGAUGCAGAACACCUGAUUGUUCUGUAAAUAGUUUGAAAUGUUUAUUUAAAAAUGCAUUGGCUGCAGUUAAAAACAAAUAGCUGCAAAAAAAACUUUGUUGUUUGCCAAACUGAGUUUGAAGAAGUAACUAUAUAAUUAAUUGCCCAGGAUUGGUCAUUAUAUACUGUAUUUUGCAGACAGAGAGUUACAGGACUUUCUCCCAGACCACAGACUCAUACUCAUAAUACAAGUCAGAGCUUUAUUUAAAAAAAAAAAAAAAAGAAAGAAAGAAAGUUGUGUUUUCAAACUUGGAGUUCAAGUUAUUUUUACUUCCAAUAAUCUUAACCCUUGUGCUCCCCUUCGGGGCAGCUCCAGACCCGAGGGGUCCCAGAGUACCCCUGAGUCGCAUUUCACAGGCCGCGCAUCAGGGUUGGCUCCCACGCCCCGUACACCCACGUUUCCCUCCCUGAAUGCCACUCCCGUUUCAAAUUUUCUCCUAGUUUCAGGCAGGCUCUAUCACGUUCGUCCAUGGGAGGCCGCUGUUAAGGAGUGAAUAGUGAACUUCUUUUAAUGGUGUGUUUAAUUAAUUUUAUUUAAUAACUUGUGACCUUUGAGUCCCUUCCUUGCAAGAAUUAUGGCCAAUGACGGAAAUGUAUGUAUUACAUUUAAGAUUGGAAAACAAUGUCAAUGCCACAAACGUGAGUUGUCAUAUACAUCUGUGAGUUAAUCUGCACAACCGUGUGCACAUGUGCUCUGUGCAUGUACACACACAUAAAGAAUUGACCUUCGUUCCUUAAAUUUGUAGCAUUGCCUCUGUGCUGACUGAUGGUGCUCAGUGGCUUUUGCUUCUUGCUUUUAAAUCAGAUGUCACUCUCA
ensembl:lncRNA